rnacentral:lncRNA from 1 species
CUUGUUUGCACGGCCCGCUCCGGAAUCACAGCCUGGGGGAUGGAAUAAUUAGCAAGCAGGCCAGGCAUUCCUGGGUCCUCUCAUCACACCCUCAUGUAUGCGGGCAGCCAUUGCACGUCCAUACAAACAGAAACAUGCAAGUCCUUAAAAUGGCUGAGCUACCUCACGUUAACUCAGCCCCACCGGAUAAACAAGGUCCCACACACCGCGGUAACGCUUCACGAAACCAGGCAGCGAGGAUCCUAGAGGCUAAAGAGAGAGGAGACGAGCUUCCCGCGCUGUGACUCAUCCUCAGGUGUGCGAUUCCUCCUGCGUCUUAGGAAUCUGCUACUGAACGAGGAUGCUUAUGGAGGUGACAUAGGCUGACGUCUGGAUGCCAUCCAGCCCAGCACCUGGGAAGAUGAGAAUAAGAGUGGAGAAUCCACAGCUGAUGACAGCAAGGGUGUGGACUUGUUGCAAGGAAGGCCAGGCUGUCCACGCGACUCAGCAGCUGCACAACGUGACCAACAGCCGAUGAGAAGAAACCCUGGACGUCCCCCUCUAGAACAACCAGUGGACGUUUCCCACAUUUGUUGUACUUAUUAUUUAAUAUUAUUAUUAUUAUUGGCAGUAGUGGUAGCAGCAGUAGUCUUUAUAAAAACCUUUGAGAGUAAACUGCAGACUUCAUGAUGCUUUACCUCUUAAAUUCGUAUGUCUCCUAAUAGCAAAGACAUUCUUUCCCACAGUAAAGUGACCAAAUCUGGGAAAUUUAACAAUGAUACAAUAUUAUUACGUAAUUCACAGUCUAUAUUCAAAUUUGCCAAUUGUCCCAAUGAUGUUCUUUAUAACAUUUUUUUUUCCAAUUCAGGAUCACAUAUAAUUGUCAUGUGCUUUUUUGCCUUAUACAAGAAAUAUUUGUCUAUUCCAGUGUCACAAAGAUUUUUUUGUAUGUGUUCCUUUAGAAGUUUUGUAGUUUUAGCUUUUAUCUCUAAGACUACAAAUGGAUUGCUUGUUUACUCGACGGUGAUAUAAUCUAUUAACGUCAUUGUUUAUUUGAUGGUCAUAUUGUCCCAGCUUAAUCAGUAGAAGCCCAUCCAGGCCAGCUCCCAUGUCUUUUGGCAAAGUCCCAUAAUUUUUUGAACACAUCCUUAUUUUCUGGCGCAAUAAGGUGAUCCAGGCUCAUCUUGUGCUUUCACUGAUCCAGCCCUAGAAUUAGUCAUUUUUCCAAGAACCCCUGGUUCCUUUUGGUAUAGUGAUAAUUAAAAACCAAGAUCUGGGUACUAGGUUGCUCACUGCUGUUAGGGUAUUAAUUGCUUCUGUCUGUCUAUCUAUCUACCUACCUACUAUCUAGAAUACUCUCAUUUCACGCCGAGGCAGCGUCCCAUAUGUCACAACUAGAAGGACCCACACUAAAAUACACGACUAUGUACUGGCGGGAUUUGGGGAGAAGCAGCAGGAAAAAAAAAAGAAAGAAAGAUUGGCAACAGUUGUUAGCUCAGGUGCCAAUCUUUUAAAAAAAACAAAACCAAAAAAACCAGCUAUUAGAAUACUCUCAUUUCAAUUCAACAAAUACCUGAGCAUUCUUUUUAGUCUUCUCCCACAGCAAGAACCCUGGCUCCUGACGCACCGAUGUAUUUACUUGUUUGCUUAAUUCUACAAUAUACCAAAAUAGUUUCAGGAUUGCUAUAACACUGAUCUACAAAAAACCUACUAAGCAGAGUUUAAGAUUUCUUUUUACUUUUUUUUUUCUCAUUCUGUUCCAACCCAUCAUCUGUAGGCAGCCAACGGCAUUAAUUUCUGGCUUAUCCAUUCUGUUUCUUUUUGAAGGAAUAAGCUUUCUUACUCAUAUGGCAUACUAAAUAUACUCUUUUGUGCUUUGUGGGCUUUUUUUCACUCAAUAGCAUACUCUGAAAGUCACUCCAUACCAGUUUAUAGAGAGCUCCUAAUUUGUUUUCAUAGCUGCAGAGCCCUCUGCUGUGUGGACAUCAUAGUUUACUAGCCGAUCUCCAUGUUAGCGUAUUUAGGUUGUUUGGGGUUUUUUUUGCAAUUACAAGUAAUGCUGCAAUAAAUUACCUUGUGCACAGGUAUUUUUGUAUUGUUAGAGGUAGUAUCAGUCUGGAGACAGAAACCACAUGAUAAUUUAAAUAGAAGUUUAAUAUUAAAAAUUAUUAAGCCAUGACAGGAGAAUAACAUAUAGAUGUAAAGAUAUAUGCACCCCUGUGUUCAUCAGAGCAUUAUUCACAAUAGCCAAGACUUGGAAACAACCUAAGUGUCCAUCAACAGAUGAAUGGAUAAAGAAGAUGUGUUAUAUAUAUAUAUAUAUGUGGUAUAUAUAUUCCAUUGUCUAUGUAUAUACAUAUAUGUAUAUAUAUGUGGAAUACUACUCAGCCACCAAAAAGAUAAAAUCUUGCCAUUUAUGACAACAUGGAUAAACCUUGCGGGCAUUAUGCUAAGGAAAAUGUCAGACAGAAAAAGCCAGAUACCAUAUGGUUUCACUCAUGUGUGGAAGAUAAGACCACAACAACAAACAAACACAAAGAUACAGAGAAUGGAUUGGUGGUUACCAGAGGGAGGGGGGCGGGGAGGGUGAAAGGGGUAAAAGGGCACCUGUGUAUGGGGACAGAUGGCAACUAGACCUUGAGUGGUGAACAUGGUGUAAUCUACACAAAAAUCAAAGUAUAAUGAUAUACACCUGACAUUUAUGUACUGUUAUAAACCAAUGUUACCUCAAAAAAAUAAAAAUGUACAGAGAACUCUGAAGUAGAGUUGGCAAACCUUUUCUAUAAAGGGACAGAUAGUAAAUAUUUUAGGCUCUGUAGGCUGUCCUGUGUCUGUCACAACCACUCAACACUGUGUGGACAACACAUAAACAAAUGGCC